UACGUAGGUGGCAAGCGUUAUCCGGAUUUAUUGGGCGUAAAGGGUGCGCAGGCGGACUGUUUAGUCUGAGGUGAAAGCGUUGAGCUUAACUCAAUUAAGCCUCAGAUACUGGCAGACUGGAGUGCAGGAGAGGGUUAUGGAAUUCCAUGUGUAGCGGUAAAAUGCGUAGAUAUAUGGAGGAACACCGGCGGCGAAGGCGGUAACCUGGCCUGUUACUGACGCUCAGGCACGAAAGCGUGGGGAGC
rnacentral:rRNA from 1 species